GGACAGUCUGGAGAUUGAGAACAGUCAAGAGACUGAGGACAGUCACAGAACUGGAGAUUGGCACACGGACAGUCAGAGUCGCCAGCCCACGCCAUGGGCACGGCCAGCAGUGGACUGGGGGGACGUGGGUUCAAUCCCUGUUCGGGGAACUAAGGUCUCACAUGCCGCAGAGCAACUACAGCCACUCCUGAAGCCCGCCAGCCACAACUAGAGAGUCUGUGUACUGCAUGAAAGAUCCCGCAUGAUGCAAUGAGGAUCCCGCGUGCUAAGACCCAACACAGCCAACGAUAGAACCCCCAACUUUUUGAGGGGCACAUCCUACUCGGUAUAAAGAUUCCAUUUCCAGUGAGGUGUGGCCAUGUGACCAAGUUGUGGCAAAAGUGGGUGUGAGCAAAAGUGAUGUGCACCAUGUGGGCUGUGUGCUUGGGGGGAAGUGAUCUUCCGUUUUUCCUCUCUUCCACUUCCGAUGGCUGGAAUGUGGACCCGGAAAACAUGGUGUUAAGUCUUCUUCAACCACAUAGACGAGGGCAUCGAGAUAAAGGCACUGUUCUGCACAAGUAUCCAGUUUGCUUAAUCCUCUUCCCAGGAGCUGAGGAAGAGCACUCCUAUCACCUCCACUAAUAGGUGGGGACAGAGGCUGAAAGGAGCCGCGAGGGACUGCAGAGCGGGCAGGCACUUGAGCUGAGACCGUUUGGAUUCAGGUGACCUGUCCUGACACAUGGCAUUUUCCCACCUUUGUGACCCCCUAGGUGGGGCUGUUGGGUCCCAGCUACGUGCUGGGACAGGAAGCCCUUUGUCAUGGAGCCCCUCACCCAACCGCCUCGAGGGCUCCGGCUCCGCUCUGGGAGGGUGGCAACCCCAUCACAGUCUCCUGCUUCUCCCAGCAAGCAGCUGACAGACACCACUUCCCUUGCCCUCCCCAUCUGGAAGACAGGAAACUGGAGGUUAAGCCUCAUGGGACUGUAUUUUGUUUAAGCUUUAUUAACAACACUCCUCUGUUUACUUUGGGAAACAUAUAAGAAAUUGGUAAUACCCAGUGCGGAUGAGGUUAUGAGGAGGAUAACAUAGUGGGUGUACGGAUAAUAUCGGUGGGUCUGCAAAGGAUCUGGGGGAGAUGACUGGACAAAAUCCAUCCCAUUUAGGAAAGCACAGACCUUCAGAACUAGCCAUUCCACUUUUAGGAAGGUAUCUGACAGAACCGUUGAACAAGUAUGCUGACCAUAGCGGUCCCAUAAAUCAUAACAGGCUCUGGAAUUCUAGGCAGCUGUCAAAAGGAAUAAAGUAACUCUGAAUUAGGAACAGGGACAGAACAUGUCUGUGGUGUAGUAUUUAAAACACAAGUUGCAAAAUAAUAUGUAGAGAAUAAUGCAAGUUUUUUUUUUAAACAAUAAAAAUAAUGUGUAUAGAAAACACGUAUAUAUAGAAAAUGGUCUGAAAGCACACAUGCCAAAAUGAUGAUAGUGGAAAGUAGAAUUCGGGAGGAAAUGGAAGGUGAAAAAGAACUUUUCAUUUUUCAUCUGUAUGCUUCAAUAUUGUCCAUGUUUUUAUAAAGAUAUCUUAGCUUUGUAAUUAAAACUUUUUUAAAAAAUUAGGAGCUAAUAAAUGAUUUUUUUCAUGGCCCAAGCAUCAGCCUUCCAACUAUCCCCUCUCCCGCAUUGCCCCCUCCCUUCCACAUGCUGUCUCAUCUUCUCCUGUUUGCUAUCUUUGGACCUGAGGCUUCUGAGCUGGCUGCAAGGCUCCAGAGCCCCUCUAAACCACACUCACUAAUCUCUCCCUAAUCCUUGCUCCCCAGCAGCUCAGACGGGCUGCUGUCUGCUCCUGUGGGAGGUGGGCAGGAGUCCCCUUGGUUUAUACUUCUUGGUUUAAAAAAGGAAGCAGCUAUGGAUACUCAGGACUCCAGGACCUGUGAGCCUCUAGAGAGGGGGCCUGGGCUCUCCCAGGAGGCCUUCCUCUCCUCCUUACGCAUAUCCAUUGCAGCCAAAGCAUUUUCUAAGAUUUGGGUGGGACCGCAGAGAUGGUCUUGUUCCAAGGUGAGAACACUGCAUCCAGGCCAAGCCUUUUUGCCAUCUGCUUCUUUCCAAGUGUUGUCCCUUAAUUUCAG